CCUUUCUGCAGAUUGAGUUUUUGUGACAUUUAUCUUAACCUCACCUCCCAGAGGCGACUACAGCUAGUAUUUUAUUUUCUUCCAAUCUUUUUCUUAGGGGCAGUCUGUUUCAGUUACUACCUUGAAAGGCCCUGAGUCUGUCUCCUAUCUCCCUGGGGGCAUUCAAACCCUACCCCCUAGCCUCUGUGGCCCAUCUGUCUCCAUGCCUGGGGUCUUGGGGAUCACUGUGACUUCCAAUAUCCACUUACCUUCAGAAUGAAUGGUCUUCCCUUCUGCCACCCGGGAGUUUCCAUUUCUUUCUUUGAAAUUGGCUAUGUACUUGAAAGUAAAGUGUUAUUUCAGUCAGCAUCUUCAUGUAUUUAGAACAAGAGGCAGUUAGCUGGGUCUACUAUGUUGAUUGGCAAUGUGAUUUUUCCUGGAAACAUUUUCUUUUGAGUACAGGUGCCCCAUUUGCACAGUUUUGUUUCCCACUUUUCUGUUUGACAAGAACGCAUUUCCCCUUGGGCUUAUGUCUCAUCUCUUUCAAUCUCCACUGUUUGGCACAGGGCCAGGUUCAUGAACACCAACUAAUGUUUGCUGAAGGGCCUCUCAUAUAAACACAUGACGUCUAGAAAGACCCGUCAAUCAGGUGAAUGUAUAAAGGACACUGGGCUGAGGGGGACGGAGCUGAGUGGGUGAGCAGGGAACGGAAGAAAGUAUUUAUCAGAGUGUGGAGAGCUGUGGGUAUGUAAGCUUCUUUGUAGGAAAUUCACCGUGGGGUUCCCAGAACCGUUCAUACAGAAAGAAGCAAGGUCCUCCCUUUCUGGGGACGUCUACAAAUCUGUAGCUGAGACUGACUCACAGGGUGAGACCAGGAAAUCAUUUACCAGCUGCUGCUGCUUUUCCUUUUUCUCAUUAGAGAAGGCAAGAAAACUCUGUCAAAGCGGGUGAUGCAAGAAUGAAGUUGACUCAGAAAUACCCAAUCCCCUCAGGAACUUCUCCAAGAAAUGGAUUGGCCAUUUUAUAAACUCCCAUCUGGAGACAUUAUAGCGAGACCACGAAGAAUCCCUGGUGAUUAUCAUGGCCACAGGGAGGCAAAUCCACACUGAAAUUUGCUAUACUGCAAGAUUAUUUAGCUUUCAGAAGAUUAAUUAAAAAUUCAAAGACGACAGAAUGAUAGUCUUAGAGGGAAAUGAGUGAGAUGGGGUGGGCGCAGACAAGGUAAUGCUGGCCUACAUGCUAAUUAGAAACGACUUACAUUGUUAAAAAUCUGCCACAUUUAAUGCAUGGAUUUUUUUUUUUUAAUGUUUAUUUUAUUUUGAGAGAGCGAGCGAGCGAGCAUGAACAGGGGAGGGGUAGAGAGAGAGAGGGAGACACAGAAUCCGAAGCAGGCUCCAGGCUCUGAGCUGUCAGCACAGAGCCCGACGUGGGGCCCGAACCCACAAGCCAUGAGAUCACGACCUGAGCUGAAGUCUGACACUUAACCGACUGAGCCACCCAGGCGCCCUGGAUUUUUUUUUUUUCCUUAAAGAAGACACUUUACAAUCAUCUACUGUGAAACUGUAGGGAUGAAUGCACAAAUCUAUGGCCUCCCUAUACAUGUGACAUUGUCUUUCUGCAUACGAAUCUGCACAACUGUACAAUUCAGAGUGGAAAGGAGCAUUGAGUCCGCCUGCAGCGUGUGCCAGGCACUUUCCAAGCACUGACUGUUGAGUCUGAACCACCACCCUAUGAAGCAGGUAUUUAGACCUCAAUUUUACAGAUGCAGAAAACGUUAGGACUUCUGGGGCAGAGGGGAAGAGAGGAGGAUACGAUCAGGAAAUAAAGGGCAAAGGGGGCUUCAUCUGUAUUGGUAAUGCAGACCUAACCUGAACGGUAGGCUCACGGGUGUGUUAUAGCUUCUUUGUAACUGGCACAGGUCCAAAGUGUUAUACGGUAAUUUAAAUCACUUGUGAAGAUUCAGAGAUUAACUAACUGACCCCAAACCAUACACCCAGACAGAACUCUGUUUAGAACCAGGACACUUAAGUUCUACUAGGUUAUUUCUCUGACAUUUAGCACAGCACCAUAGUAAGGUAUAAAAUCUAGAAAGUACUUGAAUACGUGAAGAUUGAUUCCAGAACCAGACUAUCUUGUGACACCCACUAUACAUCUAUUUUACCCAGAGAACAGCCUGAAUUUCCUAUUACUAUAUACAAUGGUGGAAAGCAGGACUCUCUUAGCACCCAAGUCUACUAAAUUGGUAAGGAUCACUGCUUAGUCUUCAGCCACUUACGAUUUCACCAAGGCCUCAUUAAAUAAACAUUUUCUUGUCACGUUAGUUCAGUCUGGCCUGUGGCUUAUAAUUACAGCUGCAAACUUAAGAGCCAGAUUCUUCUGAUCUGAGAUGCCCUUUAUGCAGUAGUACUUUCAUUACUUACUGUGUGUGCGCGUGCACACACGUGUGGUGGAAUGUGUGCAUGUGUGUGGGAAGGUGGAAGUGGGAGCCGAGGAUGGAAUUACCAUUUACUGAGCAUCUAUUAUGAGCCUGGUAUGGUGCUAAGCAUUUUCCUUGUGCUACUCUAUUCAAUCCUCUUCCAUCCUCAGGGAUAUUGGCAUACUUUCUGAAAAGUUUUUAUGAGGCUACACAGAUUAGUAAGACCUACAAGGUCAGCGGGAGUUUAUGUGUAGGCCGAGAGAGACAACAAUACAAUCAACGGUUCAGGUAUAACCAGGCAGAAGGGCAAGGGGAUAGUUAUGGCAGUGGGGGAAGCAGGCUGAGGGCACUUGAGAUAGGGUGGAACAUCUGCUCAGAUCAAGGUUUUUAGACACGUGUUUUUUGAGGAGGGAACCGGGGACUUCUUUACUUCAAAGUCUUCUGGUUACUAACUUUUUCCUUAAGCAGGAAAAGGCCCCGGGGAGACAGUCUCUCUAACAAGCAUGUCACCAGGGACCAUCAGCCACAGUCCCUAUCGCUUCGGCACAAGGCCCCAAGACUGCAAGUUGCCUCCAGGGCUAAGGUAUCUCCAAGGCCGACCUUCCACAGGGCUUACUGCCAUUCACUCAACACCGAUCUUUUCUGCUAAUGAACAAGCUGUCUCCAUGGACCUUUUUAUUUAAAACAUCACUCAAACCUUCUAAAAUCAGUGUUAGAGCUGAAAAGGAACUCUGAAGACACCUCACCCAACCUCACCCUGACUGAACACACAGAGGUCCCGGGAGGUCCCAAGGAUGGACAGUACUGUGAAUCACUUGCAAGGUCAGGACCAAGGACCAAUCCUCCAUACCAGGGGGCCAGGGAAACUAGGUUUAUCAAGGGCGUUAACAGGUGCCAGAUACUUGACAUUUACUCUCAUUCAAUCCCAAGGCAGCAGUGGCCCCAUUUCAUAGAUGAUGAAACAGAUUCAGAAGUAACUUGCCAAGUGGCCAAGUAUGUGACAAGGGCAAGAAUGAAACCAGUCCUGUUUAGCAACAACAUCACGCCCUCUUUACUGAAUCUUGAUGUCAAAAACUUCCAGACUUCAGUGCUCCUCAACCAAUCUUAAUCCAUCCCAUUUCACAUCUCCAUCAACCCAGUAUUAAAUUCAAAACACACGAGACCUAAGCCAUCUAACAAAGACGGUGUCGGUUUUUGAGAAGCAUAUUGCUCAGGCUGCAGGGACAUUUCAUGUUUAAAUGUUUUUAUUUAAAAAAAAAAUUAAAGACCUUCAUGGCACAACUUCUUCCCAGCACAGUUAUGUUUUAGUUAUACCAAUUACAAUACAAUUACAACCAAUAAAUCAAGGGGACGAGGGGGAGCUUCUGACUUCAAACUUAAAAAAAAAAAAAAAAAAAAGAGGGGGGCACUUCAAACAAAGUUAAAAA